rnacentral:rRNA from 1 species
CAGCAGCAGCCGCGGUAAUACGUAGGGUGCAAGCGUUAAUCGGAAUUACUGGGCGUAAAGCGUGCGUAGGCGGUUAUAUAAGACAGAUGUGAAAUCCCCGGGCUCAACCUGGGAACUGCAUUUGUGACUGUAUAGCUAGAGUACGGCAGAGGGGGAUGGAAUUCCGCGUGUAGCAGUGAAAUGCGUAGAUAUGCGGAGGAACACCGAUGGCGAAGGCAAUCCCCUGGGCCUGUACUGACGCUCAUGCACGAAAGCGUGGGGAGCAAACAGGAUUAGAUACCCCCGUAGUCCCUGUCUCUUAUAC